rnacentral:rRNA from 1 species
CACACUGUAAACGAUGAAUGCUAGGUGUAGGGGGUAUCGACCCCUUCUGUGCCGGAGUAAACACAAUAAGCAUUCCGCCUGGGGAGUACGGUCGCAAGAUUAAAACUCAAAGGAAUUGACGGGGGCCCGCACAAGCAGCGGAGCAUGUGGUUUAAUUCGAAGCAACGCGAAGAACCUUACCAGGUCUUGACAUCCAGUUAAAGCAGUAGAGAUACAGUGUGCCUUCGGGCGAACUGAGACAGGUGG